rnacentral:rRNA from 1 species
CCAAAUGGGCCAGUGCAAAUCCUACUUGGAUAACUGUGGUAAUUCCAGAGCUAAUACAUGCAACUGAUAUCCCGAAGGCGGUGUAGGUUCUUGCUUGCCUUGCGCUUGCGCUGCUCUGACGGAUGCUUUUAUUAGACCAAGCCGCUGAGGACUUGAGGGUUCGCGCUCUCUUGUUUGACUCGUGUGAUGGUGACUCUGGAUAACCAAAUUCUGACAAGCGCACGUACUUCUCUUCUGAGCGAGACGGCGCUGCCACUUUCGAGUGUCUGCCUUAUCAGCUAUCAACCGUUCGUUAUGCGCGACCGAUGGCUUUGACGGGUAACGGGGAAUCAGGGUUCGAUUCCGGAGAGGCAGCCUGAGAGACGGCUACCACGUCCAAGGACGGCAGCAGGCACGCAAAUUACCCAAUCCCAGCAAAUGGGGGAGGUAGUGACGAAAUCUAACGAUGCGGGCGCCCUUUCUGGGGCCCCGCAAUCGGAAUGGGCACUUUCUAAACAACCUGUUGAGAACCUACUGAAGG